UACGUAGGGGGCAAGCGUUGUCCGGAUUUAUUGGGCGUAAAGAGCUCGUAGGCGGUGUGUCGCGUCGGCCGUGAAAACCUGCAGCUUAACUGUGGGCGUGCGGUCGAUACGGGCAUCACUGGAGUUCGGCAGGGGAGACUGGAAUUCCUGGUGUAGCGGUGAAAUGCGCAGAUAUCAGGAGGAACACCAAUAGCGAAGGCAGCUCGCUGGGACGUUACUGACACUGAGGCGCGAAAGCGUGGGGAGCGAACAGG
rnacentral:rRNA from 1 species